rnacentral:rRNA from 1 species
AAUAAGAUACCCCGGUACGUCCUCGCCGUAAACGACUCGUAUACUUGGUGUAACCGGACUCAACCCUGGUUGUGGCCGAAGCUAACGCGUUAAGUAUACCGCCUGGGGAGUACGCUCGCAAGGGUGAAACUCAAAAGAAUUGACGGGGACCCGCACAAGCAGUGGAGCAUGUGGUUUAAUUCGAUGCAACGCGAAGAACCUUACCUAGGCUUGACAUGCAGAGUGAUAUAGCAGAAAUGUUAUAGCCCUUCGGGGACUCUGCACAGGUGCUGCAUGGCUGUCGUCAGCUCGUGCCGUGAGGUGUUGGGUUAAGUCCCGCAACGAGCGCAACCCUUAUCGUUAGUUGCCAACAGGUAAUGCUGGGAACUCUAGCGAGACUGCCUGGGGUUAACCAGGAGGAAGGUGAGGAUGACGUCAAGUCCGCAUGGCCCUUAUGCCUAGGGCUACACACGUGCUACAAUGGCCGGUACAGAAGGCGGCGAAGUCGUGAGAUGGAGCAAAUCCUUAAAGCCGGUCCAGUUCGGAUUGUAGUCUGA